UGUUUCUAUGGUGUAAAGAUCGCACAUUAGAUUUUCGUUCUAAAGGAAUAAAUAAAUUUAUUAGAAAUAUC
rnacentral:tRNA from 1 species